GACAGAGGUGCCAAGCGUUAGGCGGAAUCACUGGGCAUAAAGGGUGCGUAGGCGGCUUGUUAAGUCAGGGGUGAAAGUUUUCGGCCCAACCGGAAAAUUGCCUUUGAUACUGGCGAGCUGGAGUGCGUGAGGGGUGACCGGAACGAGUGGUGUAGCGGUAAAAUGCGUAGAUAUCACUCGGAAGGCCAACGGCGAAGGCAGGUCACUGGUGCGCAACUGACGCUGAGGCACGAAAGCGUGGGGAGCAAACAGG
rnacentral:rRNA from 1 species